rnacentral:rRNA from 1 species
UACGUAGGGUGCAAGCGUUAAUCGGAAUUACUGGGCGUAAAGCGUGCGCAGGCGGUGAUGUAAGACAGAUGUGAAAUCCCCGGGCUCAACCUGGGAACUGCAUUUGUGACUGCAUCGCUGGAGUGCGGCAGAGGGGGAUGGAAUCCGCGUGUAGCAGUGAAAUGCGUAGAUAUGCGGAGGAACACCGAUGGCGAAGGCAAUCCCCUGGGCCUGCACUGGACGCUCAUGCACGAAAGCGUGGGGAGCAAACAGGA